AUGUGUUCCUUUAAUUUGGUGUAUGUAUUUGUUUUCUGUAACCUAUCAUCAUUUUCUUCUUUUUUUGCGCUGAAACAAAAUGCAUUCUUUCAUAUCAAAAAUUGCAAGAGCACACGAGCUGUACACAUAUCCUUCCUUUUUGAAUCUGCAGCCGCUUGCUUUGAUUGUUAUUUUUGGAAGGGUUUAGGCGAGUACGUCACAAAGGUAACACUGAUCUGCUUCACACUUGUUAUUUUCUUCUUCUUGGUAAUUUGUAGUUCCUUUGACCUUCUAAUUUUUAUACCACUAUUCUGCAUUGCAACCUUUUCUUUAAUAGGGAGACGUGCCAAAUUUUCAGUCAAUUAUAGCGUGAAUUGCAUAACCUGCUACAUUUGCCUAUAG
rnacentral:rRNA from 1 species